GCCAGACCUGACUGCUAUCGGAUUGAUACUAAGCCAUGCGAGUCUUUGCAGUAAUGCAAGGCAUACGGCUCAGUAACACGUAGUCAACUUACCCUAUGGACGAGGAUAAUCUCGGGAAACUGAGCAUAAUACUCGAUAGAUCAUAAUGCCUGGAAUGGUUUAUGGUUGAAAUGAUUCGUCGCCAUAGGAUGGGACUGCGGCCUAUCAGCUUGUUGGUGAGGUAAUGGCCCACCAAGGCGAUUACAGGUACGGGCUCUGAGAGGAGAAGCCCGGAGAUGGGUACUGAGACAAGGACCCAGGCCCUAUGGGGCGCAGCAGGCGAGAAAACUUUGCAAUGUGCGAAAGCACGACAAGGUUAAUCCGAGUGAUUUCUGCUAAAGAAAUCUUUUGCAAGUCAUAAAACCACUAGUGAAUAAGGGGUGGGCAAGUUCUGGUGUCAGCCGCCGCGGUAAAACCAGCACCUCAAGUGGUCAGGAGGAUUAUUGGGCCUAAAGCAUCCGUAGCCGGCUCUGUAAGUUUUCGGUUAAAUCCAUGUGCUCAACGCAUGGGCUGCCGAAAAUACUGCAUAGCUAGGGAGUGGGAGAGGUAGACGGUACUCGGUAGGAAGGGGUAAAAUCCUUUGAUCUAUCGAUGACCACCUGUGGCGAAGGCGGUCUACCAGAACACGUUCGACGGUGAGGGAUGAAAGCUGGGGGAGCAAACCGGAUUAGAUACCCGGGUAGUCCCAGCUGUAAACGAUGCAGACUCGAUGAUGCAUUGGCAUAUAGCCAGUGCAGUGUCGCAGGGAAGCCGUUAAGUCUGCCGCCUGGGAAGUACGUACGCAAGUAUGAAACUUAAAGGAAUUGGCGGGGGAGCACCACAAGGGGUGAAGCCUGCGGUUCAAUUGGAUUCAACGCCGGG
rnacentral:rRNA from 1 species